GUGUUAUAUGAAAGCAUGAAAGAUUAAUACUCCCCUUGAUAAGGAUGGAAGGAGUCCAAGUGACCUCUACAACACAAAUGAUUAACUUGUUACCACUUAUGGUGGAAUAAAUAAAUCAAGUAAUUAC